GACAGCAGCAGCCACGGUAAUACGUAGGGUGCAAGCGUUAAUCGGAAUUACUGGGCGUAAAGCGUGCGCAGGCGGUUAUUCAAGACAGAUGUGAAAUCCCCGGGCUCAACCUGGGAACUGCAUUUGUGACUGGAUGACUAGAGUACGGCAGAGGGGGAUGGAAUUCCGCGUGUAGCAGUGAAAUGCGUAGAUAUGCGGAGGAACACCGAUGGCGAAGGCAAUCCCCUGGGCCUGUACUGACGCUCAUGCACGAAAGCGUGGGGAGCAAACAGGAUUAGAUACCCGAGUAGUCCCUGUCUCUUAUAA
rnacentral:rRNA from 1 species